rnacentral:rRNA from 1 species
CGGCAUGGCGGCNUGCUAUACAUGCAGUAGAACGCUGAAGAGAGGAGCUUGCUCUUCUUGGAUGAGUUGCGAACGGGUGAGUAACGCGUAGGUAACCUGCCUUGUAGCGGGGGAUAACUAUUGGAAACGAUAGCUAAUACCGCAUAACAAUGGAUGACACAUGUCAUUUAUUUGAAAGGGGCAAUUGCUCCACUACAAGAUGGACCUGCGUUGUAUUAGCUAGUAGGUGAGGUAAUGGCUCACCUAGGCGACGAUACAUAGCCGACCUGAGAGGGUGAUCGGCCACACUGGGACUGAGACACGGCCCAGACUCCUACGGGAGGCAGCAGUAGGGAAUCUUCGGCAAUGGGGGCAACCCUGACCGAGCAACGCCGCGUGAGUGAAGAAGGUUUUCGGAUCGUAAAGCUCUGUUGUAAGUCAAGAACGGGUGUGAGAGUGGAAAGUUCACACUAUGACGGUAGCUUACCAGAAAGGGACGGCUAACUACGUGCCAGCAGCCGCGGUAAUACGUAGGUCCCGAGCGUUGUCCGGAUUUAUUGGGCGUAAAGCGAGCGCAGGCGGUUUGAUAAGUCUGAAGUUAAAGGCUGUGGCUCAACCAUAGUUCGCUUUGGAAACUGUCAAACUUGAGUGCAGAAGGGGAGAGUGGAAUUCCAUGUGUAGCGGUGAAAUGCGUAGAUAUAUGGAGGAACACCGGUGGCGAAAGCGGCUCUCUGGUCUGUAACUGACGCUGAGGCUCGAAAGCGUGGGGAGCGAACAGGAUUAGAUACCCUGGUAGUCCACGCCGUAAACGAUGAGUGCUAGGUGUUGGAUCCUUUCCGGGAUUCAGUGCCGCAGCUAACGCAUUAAGCACUCCGCCUGGGGAGUACGACCGCAAGGUUGAAACUCAAAGGAAUUGACGGGGGCCCGCACAAGCGGUGGAGCAUGUGGUUUAAUUCGAAGCAACGCGAAGAACCUUACCAGGUCUUGACAUCCCGAUGCUAUUUCUAGAGAUAGAAAGUUACUUCGGUACAUCGGUGACAGGUGGUGCAUGGUUGUCGUCAGCUCGUGUCGUGAGAUGUUGGGUUAAGUCCCGCAACGAGCGCAACCCCUAUUGUUAGUUGCCAUCAUUCAGUUGGGCACUCUAGCGAGACUGCCGGUAAUAAACCGGAGGAAGGUGGGGAUGACGUCAAAUCAUCAUGCCCCUUAUGACCUGGGCUACACACGUGCUACAAUGGUUGGUACAACGAGUUGCGAGUCGGUGACGGCGAGCUAAUCUCUUAAAGCCAAUCUCAGUUCGGAUUGUAGGCUGCAACUCGCCUACAUGAAGUCGGAAUCGCUAGUAAUCGCGGAUCAGCACGCCGCGGUGAAUACGUUCCCGGGCCUUGUACACACCGCCCGUCACACCACGAGAGUUUGUAACACCCGAAGUCGGUGAGGUAACCUUUGGAGCCAGCCGCCUAAGGUGACAGAUGAGGUGG